rnacentral:rRNA from 1 species
UACGUAGGGUGCGAGCGUUGUCCGGAAUUAUUGGGCGUAAAGGGCUCGUAGGCGGUCUGUCGCGUCGGGAGUGAAAACUCAGGGCUUAACCCUGAGCCUGCUUCCGAUACGGGCAGACUAGAGGUAUGCAGGGGAGAACGGAAUUCCUGGUGUAGCGGUGGAAUGCGCAGAUAUCAGGAGGAACACCGAUGGCGAAGGCAGGUCUCUGGGCUGUAACUGACGCUGAGGAGCGAAAGCAUGGGGAGCGAACAGG